GGUAGUCCACGCCGUAAACGAUGUCGACUUGGAGGUUGUGCCCUUGAGGCGUGGCUUCCGGAGCUAACGCGUUAAGUCGACCGCCUGGGGAGUACGGCCGCAAGGUUAAAACUCAAAUGAAUUGACGGGGGCCCGCACAAGCGGUGGAGCAUGUGGUUUAAUUCGAUGCAACGCGAAGAACCUUACCUACUCUUGACAUCCAGAGAACUUAGCAGAGAUGCUUUGGUGCCUUCGGGAACUCUGAGACAGGUGCUGCAUGGCUGUCGUCAGCUCGUGUUGUGAAAUGUUGGGUUAAGUCCCGCAACGAGCGCAACCCUUAUCCUUUGUUGCCAGCGGUUAGGCCGGGAACUCAAAGGAGACUGCCAGUGAUAAACUGGAGGAAGGUGGGGAUGACGUCAAGUCAUCAUGGCCCUUACGAGUAGGGCUACACACGUGCUAUAAUGGCGCAUACAAAGAGAAGCGACCUCGCGAGAGCAAGCGGACCUCAUAAAGUGCGUCGUAGUCCGGAUUGGAGUCUGCAACUCGACUCCAUGAAGUCGGAAUCGCUAGUAAUCGUAGAUCAGAAUGCUACGGUGAAUACGUUCCCGGGCCUUGUACACACCGCCCGUCACACCAUGGGAGUGGGUUGCAAAAGAAGUAGGUAGCUUAACCUUCGGGAGGGCGCUUACCACUUUGUGAUUCAUGACUGGGGUGAAGUCGUAACAAGGUAACCGUAGGGGAACCUGC
rnacentral:rRNA from 1 species